UAUAUCAUAAGGUACCUCUAACGGUAUUAGUCUAUCUUUUCCUAAUUACUCACAAUAUAAAGAUUUUUUUUUCUCACUGCAAUACAAUCCCAACAAUAAUUUAAAAUCAUGGACAUGACUUCCAUUUGCUUCUUGUUUAAUUUCUAAGAAUAUGACUUUAGACUCUAGUUCUAACUGCAGAUACCACCCGUGUUCCUCGCUAUGUGUAGCCCCUGCCAAACACCCAAAGCCUCAGCAUUAGGAAAACUUGCAGUGCCUAUAUUUCUGGACACAAGGCCCCCACAAUCAGCAGCCUUUGUUGAAGGAAACAAGCAAUACAUGACUUUAUGGGGAGCCACUUUCUACAAAAUAGUUCCGCGUUGGUUCUGGGGUAAAGAAUUGGAGGCUGUUUUAGCUUGAAGUCUGAACAAUGAAGAGUAAGUGACAUACGUAGAAGCUAGGUGCCUCCAUAGUUCAAGAAUUUCAUUGAGAGAUCGAGGUCACAACGAGGGGAUAAGGCCUGGACCAUGUAAAAUUGUUAUAGAGAAUGAAUAUAACGGUUGAACGGGUUUAGCGUUUAAUUA